rnacentral:rRNA from 1 species
UACGUAGGGUGCAAGCGUUGUCCGGAAUUAUUGGGCGUAAAGAGCUCGUAGGCGGUCUGUCGCGUCUGCUGUGAAAACUCAGGGCUUAACCCUGAGCUUGCAGUGGGUACGGGCAGACUAGAGUGCGGUAGGGGAGACUGGAAUUCCUGGUGUAGCGGUGAAAUGCGCAGAUAUCAGGAGGAACACCGGUGGGCGAAGGCGGGGUCUCUUGGGCCGUAACUGACGC